rfam:Camelus ferus unplaced genomic scaffold scaffold54, whole genome shotgun sequence.
GGAGAUAUAGCUCAAGUGGUAGAGCACAUGCUUAUCAUGCAUAAGGUCCUGGGUUCAAUCCCCAGUACCUCCU